UCCACCUUCCCAAGCUCAUUUAUUCACACAUGGUGCAACCCAAAAUCAACCAAAUGGGUGGAAAAACUGUUAAAUCUGGUAACAUUAAUGAAGAAUACUGGUGUAAAGUGUAAGGCAUAGGUGUCAAACUCAAUUCCCGGAGGGUCGCAGCCCUGUAGAGUUUAGUUCCAACCCUAAUUAAAUGCACCUUACUCAGCUAAUCGAGUCCUUAAGGUUUAUUUGAAAGUUAAAGGUAUGUUUCCUGGAGCAGGGCUGAGCCCCUUCAGGAACUGAGUUUGACACCUCUGGUGUAAGGUGUUAAAUUAUUAAUAUAUUUUUUUUCUCUCUCAUCAGGUCUUUCAAAUUUGCCUGCUCUUUAUUCCAAACCUCGACCACACAUACAGACAAACACACUCACUCACUCACUCACUCACACACAAUAAAGGCACUUUUAAGAGCCACGUCCGUCCUGUUUACCUGUCUGUGCUGUAGUUUACUUGUCACUCUCUUUUUAGCUCUCUCUAUAUAUUUAUCUCUAUUUUCAUCUUUAUUUGUUUUAUUUGACCAUCCUUCCAGUUCUCUUAAUAGUUCCUAAAAAUCCUCUUUAUCGUAACAGUUUGUCCAUCUGUUGUUUGUUUUUGUGUAUAUUUCUUGUCUAGUCAUGACAAGGCCCAAAUUCAGGCCCUGCCCUUCUUGCCAGACUCCCAAUCAGGCAAGCAGGAAAACUUGUCAUGUCUGCUUUGGAAGCCUGUCCACCAAAAACAAAAUAAAAGAAAAAGUGGCAUCACUGGAUAGCCAGUGGGGGAAAUCUGUCCUUAAAAGCAGAAAUGCUGGGCGUAUAAUUGAUUCUGCCCGUAUUGCAGUGCUGAAACUUGAGGCUGUCGGAUACAAGCCAAUUUUAUUUAUUGGGAAACAGGACAAAAGGGCUUCAAAUAAGUGGGUGGCAGAUAUUAUCACGCAUCUGCACCCCACUCCUGUCACCAAAGUGUUUUUGGAGAAGAUGCGGAGGGCUUAUGAGUUUAUCUUAACAAAAGCAACCUCCACAGCCCAGCAGCCGGAGAGCGUCCCCGCGGAGCGGCCGGAGAGCGUCCCCGCGGAGCGGCCGGAGAGCGUCCCCGCGGAGCGGCCGGAGAGCGUCCCCGCGGAGCGGCCGGAGAGCGUCCCCGCGGAGCGGCCGGAGAGCGUCGCCGCGGAGCGGCCGGAGAGCCUCACCAAGCAGCCUGAAACUGUAUUUCUUCUCAAUCUUGUUCCUGUGCCUUGCUCGCUCUCUCCAACCUCUCUCUGUCCUCCUUCCUCUGCUACUUCUACAACUGUUCUUCCCUCACUUUCUUCCCCUCUUCCACCUCCACUGCGGCAGAGGAAAAGAAGGUAAAACACUUUUACCGCGUCAAACUCUACCACCCCUGUCUCUCCUCCAUAUCCAUCUGCCUCUUCCAUUUCCAAGCCUUUGAGUCAGGAGGUGCCACUGGUAAAGAACAGAAGAAAAGGUUGUCAAAAAUGUAGGAGGCAGAAGGUUUUCCUUUUUGAUAAAAUAACUGGGGAACGAAUAAAUGAGGGGAAAGCUGAAUUGAAAGUUCACUGGUUGCCUUGCACUGUGUGGUAAGUCAUGUUUUAUUUCCUAGUUAAUUCCAUUUCAAUGCAAUGGAUUAGUCCAUUCCAUGACCCAAUACAAUCAAACACACCUGAACAAGAUCAUCAAGGUCUGAAAGGUUGCUAGAAAGCUACAGGCAGGUGAGUUUUUAUGAGGGUUGGAGCUAAACUCUGCAGGACUGAGAGCUACAACAACCAUCAUGUUAACACAGCACACACAACACCUCUUUAGCACUUUAUUUCUCUCAACAUUAGGACAGGAGAGCUGUCAGUCAAUAAAUGUGAAAAAGAAAUUUUGAUUUUUUUUGUUAUAAGCUCCCAGAUCUUGGCAGUAAAUAAUCCUCUGAGGUAGCCUGUAGAAAAACUGGUGUGAGGUCGAUGGUCAGUACUCUGAUUUAAAUAGCGAUGAGCUAGAGGCAUUGGGAAGAGCUAGAUCUGCAAUCCUGAGGAUCAGACAGAAAAAACAAAUAAAGGGAUUGGUGCGGGUGCCAUUCACAUAAAAAAAGAGUUAUAGUAUGUAAAGUGUGUUUGUGUGUGCGUUCUUGUAUACAUGGUUGUAUACAAGGACACAAAUGUGUG